AUGGCCGGCGCCAACACUGCCACGCCGUCCGCGGCGUCGCCUGAGUGCGCGUCCAUGACCCUGUGCGGGCCGAUCAAGAAGCACAUCAUCGAGCACUUCCACCACAAGAAGCCCGUGCUGCCCAAGCCGGAGCCCAAGCCCCAGCCCCACCCGGACUACGGCCCCGUGCCCAAACCCGAGCCCAAGCCGCAGCCCCAGCCGGACUACCACCCCGUCCCUCCCACGCCCACCUAUGGCGGCGGCGGCGGUGGUGGAUACCACGGCCACCACUGA
rnacentral:rRNA from 1 species